rnacentral:rRNA from 1 species
AGAGUUUGAUCCUGGCUCAGAAUGAACGUUGGCGGCGUGGAUUAGGCAUGCAAGUCGUGCGAGAAGCUCUCUUCGGAGAGUGGAUAGCGGCGAAAGGGAGAGUAACGCGUGGACCACCUACCCCUGGGACUGGGAUAGCCGCGGGAAACUGCGGGUAAUACCGGAUAAAGUCUCUGGACCAAAGGGCAACCGCCCGGGGACGGGUCCGCGUCCUACUAGCUUGUUGGUGAGGUAACGGCUCACCAAGGCGACGAUGGGUAGUGGGCGUGAGGGCGUGGCCCACCUCACUGGGACUGAGAUACUGCCCAGACACCUACGGGUGGCUGCAGUCGAGAAUCUUCGGCAAUGGGCGCAAGCCUGACCGAGCGACGCCGCGUGCGGGAUGAAGGCCUUCGGGUUGUAAACCGCUGUCAGAGGGGAAGAAGCUUCGGCUGACUGAUCCUCAGAGGAAGGACGGGCUAAGUUCGUGCCAGCAGCCGCGGUAAUACGAACCGUCCAAACGUUAUUCGGAAUCACUGGGCUUAAAGGGUGCGUAGGCGGCCCGGCAAGUUGGGUGUGAAAUCCCUCGGCUCAACCGAGGAAUUGCGCCCAAAACUGCUGGGCUUGAGGGAGACAGAGGUGAGCGGAACUUAGGGUGGAGCGGUGAAAUGCGUUGAUAUCCUAAGGAACACCGGUGGCGAAAGCGGCUCACUGGGUCUCUUCUGACGCUGAGGCACGAAAGCUAGGGGAGCGAACGGGAUUAGAUACCCCGGUAGUCCUAGCCGUAAACGCUGAGCACUAGAUCGAAGGGUCUCCCAUAGCCUUUCGGU